rnacentral:rRNA from 1 species
UUUAAUGAGAGUUUGAUCCUGGCUCAGGACGAACGCUGGCGGCGUGCCUAAUACAUGCAAGUAGAACGCUGAAGAGAGGAGCUUGCUCUUCUUGGAAGUUGGAAACGAUAGCUAAUACCGCAUAACAAUGGGUGACCCAUGUCAUUCAUUUGAAAGGGGCAAAUGCUCCACUACAAGAUGGACCUGCGUUGUAUUAGCUAGUAGGUGAGGUAACGGCUCACCUAGGCGACGAUACAUAGCCGACCUGAGAGGGUGAUCGGCCACACUGGGACUGAGACACGGCCCAGACUCCUACGGGAGGCAGCAGUAGGGAAUCUUCGGCAAUGGGGGCAACCCUGACCGAGCAACGCCGCGUGAGUGAAGAAGGUUUUCGGAUCGUAAAGCUCUGUUGUAAGUCAAGAACGAGUGUGAGAGUGGAAAGUUCACACUGUGACGGUAGCUUACCAGAAAGGGACGGCUAACUACGUGCCAGCAGCCGCGGUAAUACGUAGGUCCCGAGCGUUGUCCGGAUUUAUUGGGCGUAAAGCGAGCGCAGGCGGUUUGAUAAGUCUGAAGUUAAAGGCUGUGGCUCAACCAUAGUUCGCUUUGGAAACUGUCAAACUUGAGUGCAGAAGGGGAGAGUGGAAUUCCAUGUGUAGCGGUGAAAUGCGUAGAUAUAUGGAGGAACACCGGUGGCGAAAGCGGCUCUCUGGUCUGUAACUGACGCUGAGGCUCGAAAGCGUGGGGAGCGAACAGGAUUAGAUACCCUGGUAGUCCACGCCGUAAACGAUGAGUGCUAGGUGUUGGGUCCUUUCCGGGAUUCAGUGCCGCAGCUAACGCAUUAAGCACUCCGCCUGGGGAGUACGACCGCAAGGUUGAAACUCAAAGGAAUUGACGGGGGCCCGCACAAGCGGUGGAGCAUGUGGUUUUUCUAGAGAUAGGAAGUUACUUCGGUACAUCGGUGACAGGUGGUGCAUGGUUGUCGUCAGCUCGUGUCGUGAGAUGUUGGGUUAAGUCCCGCAACGAGCGCAACCCCUAUUGUUAGUUGCCAUCAUUCAGUUGGGCACUCUAGCGAGACUGCCGGUAAUAAACCGGAGGAAGGUGGGGAUGACGUCAAAUCAUCAUGCCCCUUAUGACCUGGGCUACACACGUGCUACAAUGGUUGGUACAACGAGUUGCGAGUCGGUGACGGCGAGCUAAUCUCUUAAAGCCAAUCUCAGUUCGGAUUGUAGGCUGCAACUCGCCUACAUGAAGUCGGAAUCGCUAGUAAUCGCGGAUCAGCACGCCGCGGUGAAUACGUUCCCGGGCCUUGUACACACCGCCCGUCACACCACGAGAGUUUGUAACACCCGAAGGAAGGUGCGGCUGGAUCACCUCCUUU